AGAAUAAAAAAUCGAGGCGUCGCUCUUUUUUUAAGGGUGAUCGCGUCGGAAUUGAGCCGUCUUUCAAAUGUUAAUUCAUGUCAAAGUGGCUUAAAAUUCAUCCAUCCGGUACGAUUAAAGCGUAUUUAAGAUCAAUUUUGUUCAAGAACGCGCGAUGACGUACCAUCUCAUGUAGUACGUUUGACCUGGGUCAUCAGGUUCAUUCGUAUACGAUGCUCAAAC
rnacentral:misc_RNA from 1 species